GUACCUUGGCAUGGUUACCCACUGACAGAGGAGAUCACUGGGCUUAGGGUUGAGGUCCUUUGCUCACCAUCUCGAAGCUGUUGGUCUGUCCGGCUCUGAUGCCAGUGCUGGUAAUGAGAGCCCAGGGUGGCCUGCAAAGCUGGGAGGGGCUGAAGUCCUCCCCUCUCGGCCUUUCUUUCCUGAGGGCUGUCGUUUUGGCUCCAGAGAUCCAGAUGAAUCCAGACACUCUGGAAGCCCGUGCAGAGUGCCUCUCUCCCACCCCACCUGGCCUCCCUGGGCAGCGCCGACUGCACAGCCAGCCCCUUCCUGCUACACAGGAGGGCACUUGGGCCCGGGGACGUGCGCUUGCCCAGGGGGACACAGGGACUCAGGGGCUGCAGGUGUCCUGGCUUCUGCCCACCUCGCAAUAAGCCACAGGGAGGAAUCACACCUCUGCCUGCAGAAAAGCAGGUGCCAAUACAUUCUCUCUGCGACACCUGCAGAGACGUAAGCAACUUCCACCAGCUCAGGGUAUGACGUCCUUAAAAUCGGGUCACAAACAUCUGCUCCCAAGGUGCUUUUCUCUGGCCGGCGGGUAAGGCUUUCUCCCUUCCGGCUGUCAGAACGUGACUCCUGGCAGCAGUACACAGGGCGGAAUCUAGUGCCCACUCUGUGGCCAGCCAGUGUUUGCCCCCCAGGGUUGAUGAGUCCUGGGGCGUGGGGAUGCUGGGCAGUAUCUGCCAGGCCCCGUGCAGGGUCCGUCCAGCAGGGAGGCAGUCACGGCGUGAUGGGCUAGGAGCCAGGGCCCCGGGGGUCUGUCUGCCUGUUGAUAAACGUGAGAGGACCCAGUCUAGCGAUGUUCCAAAACCCAGUGCCCGCCAGAAUCCCGAGGGCCAGCGGGGCUGAUGGUGGCCCACUCCGCCGUCUCGGGGUUGCUGGGGCCAGCCUCUGGGCUCCUUGGGGUAAAGAGGUGGAGGAAGCUUUGCCCCACCCGUCUACAGCCCUGGUGUCCCCACAGGGAGACAGCCUGUGCUGCUUCCUGUCCCCUUUCAUGGGCCAUCACCCCUGCACAGGUGUGGGCACAUGUGCGCGCGCACACACCCACACCCCAGCACAGCUCCAAAGGCGGAGGCCAGCCUUGGCCACUUGGCCCUGGCCUUCCCACCACCCUCAGCGUGACCCUCUCUCACCCAGGUGGGAGGCGGCAGUGAGAAGAGCCUCAGUGACUGGAUGGUGAGACAAGGCAUGGUGAGAGGGGCUGGGCACCUGCGCAGGGCCACCCCGGCGGUGCUGUCCAUCAGACCCGAGGAGAGCGAGGGGCAUCAGGGCGCCCAGCCCCGCUCCCCGGCCCUUGCUUCCACGGCCGUGCAGCUCUGGCAGCUGGGAGGUGACCGGGGCUGGCCUGGAUCUGGGCUGAGUGUCCGCAUAGGGAGCUGGGCAGCGCUGGGAACUUGCUGCUGGUGCUGCUGGGGAAUCAGCUCCUGCCUCUUCUCUGGGCGCUCCUGCCGCCCACCGGGGUCCUCGCUGCCUGCCGAGGACAGAGCUUGGGGACUGACCUGGCUUUGGUUGGAGAAGGACUCGUUCUCCCUCUGUUUCCCAAAGUAGCUAAGUGGUAACUGGCGUUUCCUAGGCAUCUAAGCUGUGCCAGGCGCUGUGCUAAGCUCUCUGCCUCCCUCAUCUCCUUUAAUUCUCACAGCAGCCUGGACGGUAGGUAGCAUCACCCGUUGCAGUGAGCGAGGCGAGGGUUCGGGGAGUUUAGCAACCUGCGCAAAGUCGCAGGCCAGCACUGCGCCAGCUUUCUGACCCCGGAGUCUGUGCCCAGAGCCUCCAGUAGGAUCCUCCCACUCAAGAUGCAUCUCGAGACCCCAGCCCUGCCCCAGUCCAACCCUCAGCCUCGGUGGCAGAACUCGUAUCUUUUUUACCCCCGGUGAAAUGUACCCGCAGAACCGCAGCCCCCUGGACCCACCAGGCUGGUGGUCCCGGCACCUCCCUCAGCUCCAGCCCAUCUCUGCCCCCUCCCACCAUAAACUCUUGAGUCUGCAGGGGUGCAGUGGGCGCUGCAGUCGCCCCCCUGCCCCAGCCUUGCCAGCUGGCCGCUCCCUGGGCCUUGAGUGUUACUGUGUCAGGGGCUCGCGAGGCAGGUGACUGCGCGGGGCCUCAGCCGGUGGGCCCUGGGCUGGUGGGGCCUCCCUCUGGUCCAGUGCACUGUUCUCCCCCCCAGAUCCCUGUCACCCAGGCCUGCCUCAUGGAGGACAUCGAGCAGUGGCUGUCCACGGACGUGGGCAAUGAUGCCGAGGAGCCCAAGGGCGUCACCAGUGAAGAAUUCGACAAGUUCCUGGAAGAACGGGCCAAAGUGGCCGACCGUUUGCCCAACCUCUCCAGCCCCUCGGCCGAGGGGCCCCCGGGUCCCCCAUCUGGCACCGUCCCUCGAAAGAAGACGCAGGAGAAGGACGAGGACAUGCUGUUUGCCUUAUGAGUGUGGGGCCUGGCGUCCUGGAGCCCGGGCCCCCGCUGUUCCCACACUGCGUGGCUGGGGCCUCUUCCUCCUUUGGUGUUCGCUGCUUUGGGGGUGGCUUGUUGCGCCCUCUUCUCUCCCCUUUGAGGUUGGGGCUGUGCUGCCUGGGGGUACAGGGGGCAGCUGGACAAGUUGAGAGCGCGAGUCAGUUCUAUGCUGGAUCCUGGCCACGCCUGCCUCCUUCCCCACCCCCACCAACCACUACAACUUUGCUGGAAAGCUGGAGGCCCCGGCACAGACAGGCUGGCCUCGUGGUUGCCCCAGUGUGACUGCCCCUGCCGUGGUGACCCAUCCCCAGAGGAGCGCCCUUCAGAGCCCUCACUGCCAGUUAAGGCCCAGCCUGAGGUUGGAGACCGCAGAUGCUUCUGUCGCAGCCUUGGGGCCCAAAGGCUUUGGCCACUGCGGAGGGCCGGGGGUGUGCUGUGGUGAAGGGAGGCCCCACCAGCCCCCGGCCGCAGGGGGAGGCUGCGGGGGUGCCUGGCGCACCCAUGUCACCCACGACCUCCACGCCCUUCCCUCCAUCCUUUCUCUCUUCCUCCCGCGCAGGCCUCCACUGGGCACUGGGCCCACCCAGCUGUUGGUUGACCCUCUUGUACUGGGAGAGGUGCCCUUUGUACCCCCGAUUAAAAGUAGAAAAG
rnacentral:lncRNA from 1 species